AGAGUUUGAUCCUGGCUCAGAAUCAACGCUGGCGGCGUGCCUAACACAUGCAAGUCGAACGCGACUGGGGACUUCGGUUCCCAGUUGAGUGGCGAACGGGUGAGUAACACGUGGGUGAUCUACCUUCGAGUGGGGGAUAACGUUCCGAAAGGAACGCUAAUACCGCAUGACGUUCUGGGUUUGAAGACCUGGAAACCAAAGCCGGGGACCGCAAGGCCUGGCGCUUGAAGAGGAGCCCGCGUCCGAUUAGCUAGUUGGCGGGGUAACGGCCCACCAAGGCGACGAUCGGUAGCCGGGCCUGAGAGGGGCGGACGGCCACACUGGGGACUGAGACACGGCCCAGACUCCUACGGGGAGGCAGCAGUGGGGGAAUUUGUUCACAAUGGGGCGCCAAGCCUGAUGAAGCAACGCCCCGUGGGGGGAUGGAAGGGCUUUCGGGGUCGUAAACCCCCGGUCGAAUGGGACGAAAAACCCCGCCGAUUUAACAAAACCCGGGGAAUGGACGGGUACCGGUUAAAGGGAGGCCACCGGCUAAAUUCUGGUGCCCAGCCACCGGCGGGUAAUAACAGAAGGUGGGAAAGCGUUGUUUCCGAAUUUACCUGGGGCGGUAAAGGGGCGCCGUAAGCGGCCCUUCUUAAGUCAGACCGUGGAAUCCCCCCGGCCUUUAACCCUGGGGAACUGCCGUCUGAUACUGGGGAGGGCCUGAGUAUGGGGAGAAGGGAUGUUACAAAUUCUCCGGUGUUACCGGUGAAAUGCGUACAAUAUCCUGGAAGGAUACCCGGUGGGGCGAAAGGCGGCGUUCCUGGACCAUCAACUUGACGGUUGAGAGCGCGCGAUAGUCUAGGGGCACCAACCCGGGGAUUAACUAUCCCCCGGGGUAGUCCCAGCCUUAACCGGAUGACAUAGGUUGGGUGUGGGCGGGGUUAUCUAUCCUCCGCCGGGGCCGGAAGGAUAUCCGCAUAUAAGUUUUCCCGCUUGGGGGAGUGCUGUUCGCAAGGUUUAAAAAUUCAAAGGGAAUUUGACGGGGCCCCCGCCACAAGCCGGUGGGACCAUGUGUUUCAUUUUCGCCGCAACGGAAAAGACCUUUCCUGGGGCUGAAAAAUCCAGAGGCCUUCCGAAAAAAAUUCGGUCUCCCCCCAAGGGCCUUCUUAUAUGGGUGCCCCAAUGGCUGUCUUUCAGCUUGGUGUCGUGAGGAUGUGGGUUUAAUUCCCCCAAACGAGCCCAACCCUUCUUUCUUUUGUUCCCUCCAGGUCAAGCUGGCCCUUUUGGGGAGGCCCCCCGGUGGUAUAAACCGGGAAGGAAGGUGGGGGAGGACGUCAGUUCACCAAUGCCCUUUAUGUCCCAGGGCCACCACACCGUGUUACAAUGGCGGAUACAAAGCGCUGCAAACCCGCCGAGGGGUGAGCCAAUCGCAUAAAGUCCGUCUCAGUUCGGAUUGUAGGCUGCAACUCGCCUGCAUGAAGUUGGAAUCGCUAGUAAUCGCGGAUCAGCAUGCCGCGGUGAAUACGUUCCCGGGCCUUGUACACACCGCCCGUCACAUCACGAAAGCUGGCUGUACUAGAAGUAGCUUCGCUAACCCGCAAGGGAGGCAGGUUCCUAAGGUAUGGUCAGUGAUUGGGGUGAAGUCGUAACAAGGUAACC
rnacentral:rRNA from 1 species